rnacentral:rRNA from 1 species
UACGUAGGGUGCAAACGUUGUCCGGAAUUAUUGGGCGUAAAGAGCUUGUAGGCGGUUUGUCGCGUCUGCUGUGAAAUUUCGGGGCUCAACCCCGAACUUGCAGUGGGUACGGGCAGACUAGAGUGUGGUAGGGGAGACUGGAAUUCCUGGUGUAGCGGUGAAAUGCGCAGAUAUCAGGAGGAACACCGAUGGCGAAGGCAGGUCUCUGGGCCACUACUGACGCUGAGAAGCGAAAGCAUGGGGAGCGAACAGG